rnacentral:rRNA from 1 species
UCGAUGAGUAGGGCGGGACACGUGGUAUCCUGUCUGAAUAUGGGGGGACCAUCCUCCAAGGCUAAAUACUCCUGACUGACCGAUAGUGAACCAGUACCGUGAGGGAAAGGCGAAAAGAACCCCGGCGAGGGGAGUGAAAAAGAACCUGAAACCGUGUACGUACAAGCAGUGGGAGCACGCUUAGGCGUGUGACUGCGUACCUUUUGUAUAAUGGGUCAGCGACUUAUAUUCUGUAGCAAGGUUAACCGAAUAGGGGAGCCGAAGGGAAACCGAGUCUUAACUGGGCGUUAAGUUGCAGGGUAUAGACCCGAAACCCGGUGAUCUAGCCAUGGGCAGGUUGAAGGUUGGGUAACACUAACUGGAGGACCGAACCGACUAAUGUUGAAAAAUUAGCGGAUGACUUGUGGCUGGGGGUGAAAGGCCAAUCAAACCGGGAGAUAGCUGGUUCUCCCCGAAAGCUAUUUAGGUAGCGCCUCGUGAAUUCAUCUCCGGGGGUAGAGCACUGUUUCGGCAAGGGGGUCAUCCCGACUUACCAACCCGAUGCAAACUGCGAAUACCGGAGAAUGUUAUCACGGGAGACACACGGCGGGUGCUAACGUCCGUCGUGAAGAGGGAAACAACCCAGACCGCCAGCUAAGGUCCCAAAGUCAUGGUUAAGUGGGAAACGAUGUGGGAAGGCCCAGACAGCCAGGAUGUUGGCUUAGAAGCAGCCAUCAUUUAAAGAAAGCGUAAUAGCUCACUGGUCGAGUCGGCCUGCGCGGAAGAUGUAACGGGGCUAAACCAUGCACCGAAGCUGCGGCAGCGACGCUGAUGCGUUGUUGGGUAGGGGAGCGUUCUGUAAGCCUGUGAAGGUGUGCUGUGAGGCAUGCUGGAGGUAUCAGAAGUGCGAAUGCUGACAUAAGUAACGAUAAAGCGGGUGAAAAGCCCGCUCGCCGGAAGACCAAGGGUUCCUGUCCAACGUUAAUCGGGGCAGGGUGAGUCGACCCCUAAGGCGAGGCCGAAAGGCGUAGUCGAUGGGAAACAGGUUAAUAUUCCUGUACUUGGUGUUACUGCGAAGGGGGGACGGAGAAGGCUAUGUUGGCCGGGCGACGGUUGUCCCGGUUUAAGCGUGUAGGCUGGUUUUCCAGGCAAAUCCGGAAAAUCAAGGCUGAGGCGUGAUGACGAGGCACUACGGUGCUGAAGCAACAAAUGCCCUGCUUCCAGGAAAAGCCUCUAAGCAUCAGGUAACAUCAAAUCGUACCCCAAACCGACACAGGUGGUCAGGUAGAGAAUACCAAGGCGCUUGAGAGAACUCGGGUGAAGGAACUAGGCAAAAUGGUGCCGUAACUUCGGGAGAAGGCACGCUGAUAUGUAGGUGAAGUCCCUCGCGGAUGGAGCUGAAAUCAGUCGAAGAUACCAGCUGGCUGCAACUGUUUAUUAAAAACACAGCACUGUGCAAACACGAAAGUGGACGUAUACGGUGUGACGCCUGCCCGGUGCCGGAAGGUUAAUUGAUGGGGUUAGCGCAAGCGAAGCUCUUGAUCGAAGCCCCGGUAAACGGCGGCCGUAACUAUAACGGUCCUAAGGUAGCGAAAUUCCUUGUCGGGUAAGUUCCGACCUGCACGAAUGGCGUAAUGAUGGCCAGGCUGUCUCCACCCGAGACUCAGUGAAAUUGAACUCGCUGUGAAGAUGCAGUGUACCCGCGGCAAGACGGAAAGACCCCGUGAACCUUUACUAUAGCUUGACACUGAACAUUGAGCCUUGAUGUGUAGGAUAGGUGGGAGGCUUUGAAGUGUGGACGCCAGUCUGCAUGGAGCCGACCUUGAAAUACCACCCUUUAAUGUUUGAUGUUCUAACGUUGACCCGUAAUCCGGGUUGCGGACAGUGUCUGGUGGGUAGUUUGACUGGGGCGGUCUCCUCCUAAAGAGUAACGGAGGAGCACGAAGGUUGGCUAAUCCUGGUCGGACAUCAGGAGGUUAGUGCAAUGGCAUAAGCCAGCUUGACUGCGAGCGUGACGGCGCGAGCAGGUGCGAAAGCAGGUCAUAGUGAUCCGGUGGUUCUGAAUGGAAGGGCCAUCGCUCAACGGAUAAAAGGUACUCCGGGGAUAACAGGCUGAUACCGCCCAAGAGUUCAUAUCGACGGCGGUGUUUGGCACCUCGAUGUCGGCUCAUCACAUCCUGGGGCUGAAGUAGGUCCCAAGGGUAUGGCUGUUCGCCAUUUAAAGUGGUACGCGAGCUGGGUUUAGAACGUCGUGAGACAGUUCGGUCCCUAUCUGCCGUGGGCGCUGGAGAACUGAGGGGGGCUGCUCCUAGUACGAGAGGACCGGAGUGGACGCAUCACUGGUGUUCGGGUUGUCAUGCCAAUGGCACUGCCCG